rnacentral:rRNA from 1 species
GACGGUACAGGUAGAUAGCUUGCUAUUUAUGCUGACGAGUGGUCGGACGGGUAGAGUAAGGACUGGGAAACUGCCCGAUAGACGGGGGACAACAGUUGGAAACGACUGCUAAUACCGCAUGAACCCUGAGGGGGAAAGAAGAAAUUCGCUAUCGGAUGUGCCCAGUUGGGAUUAGCUAGUAGGGGUGGUAAAGGCACACCUAGGCGAUGAUCUCUAGCUGGUCUGAGAGGAUGAUCAGCCACAUUGGGACUGAGACACGGCCCAGACUCCAUACGGGAGGCAGCAGUAGGGAAUAUUGCACAAUGGAGGAAACUCUGAUGCAGCCAUGCCGCGUGUGUGAAGAAGGCCUUCGGGUUGUAAAGCACUUUCGGAGGGGAGGAGAAAGGACGUUACCCUCAGAGGAAGCACCGGCUAACUCCGUGCCAGCAGCCGCGGUAAUACGGAGGGUGCGAGCGUUAAUCGGAAUAACUGGGCGUAAAGGGCAUGCAGGCGGUUGGACAAGUAAGGUGUGAAAUACCGGGGCUUAACUUCGGGGCUGCACUUUAAACUAUCCGGCUAGAGUAUUGCAGAGGGAGACGGAAUUCCAGGUGUAGCGGUGGAAUGCGUAGAUAUCUGGAAGAACACCGGAGGCGAAGGCGGUCUCCUGGGCAAAUACUGACGCUCAGAUGCGAAAGCGUGGGGAGCAAACAGGAUUAGAUACCCUGGUAGUCCACGCUGUAAAACGAUGUCGAUUAGAAGUUCGAGCAAAAGCUUGGGUUUCGUAGCAAACGCGCUAAAUCGACCGCCUGGGGAGUACGGCCGCAAGGUUAAAACUCAAAUGAAUUGACGGGGGCCCGCACAAGCGGUGGAGCAUGUGGUUUAAGUUCGACGCAACGCGAAGAACCUUACCUGAUCCUGACAUCGCGGGAAUUGCUCUUAGGGGAGCAAGUGCCUUCGGGAGCCCGCAGACAGGUGCUGCAUGGCAUGUCGUCUAGCUCGUGUCGUGAGUAUGUUCGGGCUUAAGUCCAACAGCGAUACGGUAGGCCGAGCCGAAGAAUCCGCCCGUUUGGUCCCGCCGUUGUUUUGUGUGUUUGUGGGCCACCAAAGGGCGCUGGUGGGGCGUUAAAGAGAAGGCCACGGGAACUGCCAAGAAAGGGAAGAACUGGGCCAAAGGUGGAGCAAGAAAACUUGGGGAGGAAGGCAGGGAUGACGUCAAGUCAUCAUGGCCCUUACGGUCAGGGCUACACACGUGCUACAAUGGGGCGUACAGAGGGAGACGAAGCCGCGAGGCGGAGUGGAACCCACAAAGCGUCCCUCAGUUCGGACUGGAGUCUGCAACCCGACUCCACGAAGUCGGAAUCGCUAGUAAUCGCAAAUCAGAAUGUUGCGGUGAAUACGUUCCCGGGCCUUGUACACACCGCCCGUCACACCAUGGGAGUGAAUUGCACCGGAAGUAGCUUGCCUAACCGUAAGGA